GUCUCUUUGGAAAUAAAUAUAUAAAGAGUCGAACCUGCCCGGUGACUAUAUUGUUAAACGGCCGCGGUACCCUAACCGUGCAAAGGUAGCAUAAUCAUUUGCCUUUUAAUUGGAGGCUGGUAUGAAUGGUUUGACGAGAGCUAUGCUGUCUCUUUUAAAAUAUUUAAAAAUUAACUUUUAGGUGAAGAGGCCUAAAUUUAUUUAAGGGACAAGAAGACCCUGUUGAGCUUUAGUGAUGUUGUAAAUGAUGAAGAAUAAGUUAUUAUUGAUUUGUUGUGUAUUUAUUAUAAUAAAAGUUUGCAGAUAAUCUUUAGUUGGGGCGACUGAGGAACAUAAAAAGCUUCCUUGUAUAUAAAUUAUUUAAGUAAUUGAAUAAAUUAAUGCUUAUGUGUUAUUUUGAUCCAAAUUAUUUUGAUUAAGAGAAAAAGUUACCACAGGGAUAACAGCGUAAUCUUUCUGGAGAGAUCUUAUCGAAAGAAGGGUUUGCGACCUCGAUGUUGGACUAAGAUAUCCUAAGGGUGUAGAAGUUCUUAAAGGUUGGUCUGUUCGACCAUUAAAAUCUU
rnacentral:rRNA from 1 species